UGCAGUCGAACGGUAGCAGGAAGUGCUUGCACUUUGCUGACGAGUGGCGGACGGGUGAGUAAUGCUUGGGAACUUGCCUUUGCGAGGGGGAUAACAGUUGGAAACGACUGCUAAUACCGCAUAAUGUCUACGGACCAAACGGGGCUUAGGCUUCGGCGCAGAGAGAGGCCCAAGUGAGAUUAGCUAGUUGGUGGGGUAAAGGCUCACCAAGGCGACGAUCUCUAGCUGUUCUGAGAGGAAGAUCAGCCACACUGGGACUGAGACACGGCCCAGACUCCUACGGGAGGCAGCAGUGGGGAAUAUUGCACAAUGGGGGGAACCCUGAUGCAGCCAUGCCGCGUGUGUGAAGAAGGCCUUCGGGUUGUAAAGCACUUUCAGUUGUGAGGAAAAGUGAGUAGUUAAUACCUGCUCACCGUGACGUUAACAACAGAAGAAGCACCGGCUAACUCCGUGCCAGCAGCCGCGGUAAUACGGAGGGUGCGAGCGUUAAUCGGAAUUACUGGGCGUAAAGCGCACGCAGGCGGUUUGUUAAGCUAGAUGUGAAAGCCCCGAGCUCAACUUGGGAUGGUCAUUUAGAACUGGCAGACUAGAGUCUUGGAGAGGGGAGUGGAAUUCCAGGUGUAGCGGUGAAAUGCGUAGAUAUCUGGAGGAACAUCAGUGGCGAAGGCGACUCCCUGGCCAAAGACUGACGCUCAUGUGCGAAAGUGUGGGUAGCGAACAGGAUUAGAUACCCUGGUAGUCCACACCGUAAACGCUGUCUACUAGCUGUUUGUGGCUUUAAGCCGUGAGUAGCGAAGCUAACGCGAUAAGUAGACCGCCUGGGGAGUACGGCCGCAAGGUUAAAACUCAAAUGAAUUGACGGGGGCCCGCACAAGCGGUGGAGCAUGUGGUUUAAUUCGAUGCAACGCGAAGAACCUUACCUACACUUGACAUGCAGAGAACUUUCCAGAGAUGGAUUGGUGCCUUCGGGAACUCUGAC
rnacentral:rRNA from 1 species